CCUACGGGGGGCAGCAGUGGGGAAUAUUGCACAAUGGGGGAAACCCUGAUGCAGCAACGCCGCGUGAGCGAAGAAGGUCUUCGGGUCGUAAAGCUCUGUCCUAAGGGAAGAAGCAUGACGGUACCUUAGGAGGAAGCCCCGGCUAACUACGUGCCAGCAGCCGCGGUAAUACGNAGNGNGCGAGCGUUAUCCGGAAUCACUGGGCGUAAAGGGUGCGUAGGCAGCCAAUUAAGCCAGAGGUGAANGGCUACGGCUCAACCGUAGUAAGCCUUUGGAACUGAAUGGCUUGAGUGCAGGAGAGGAGAGUGGAAUUCCUAGUGUAGCGGUGAAAUGCGUAGAUAUUAGGAGGAACACCAGUGGCGAAGGCGACUCUCUGGCCUGUAACUGACGCUGAGGCACGAAAGCGUGGGGAGCAAACAGGAUUAGAUACCCCAGUAGUC
rnacentral:rRNA from 1 species